rnacentral:rRNA from 1 species
AUGGCUGCCGGAGAAGAUGGGUUCGUCUUCUCGGGCUUCAAGGGAGCCAACAUUACCGUGGACGGCGUCGCCACGGUGACCCGGAACGGCCUUGUCGAUCUGACCACUGGCCAGGAGACUCUCAAAGGCCAUGCAUUCUACCCUGCUCCGCUACGGUUCCACGAAUCCUCCAAUGGCACGGCGGUCAAAUCCUUCUCCGUCUCAUUCGUGUUCGCCAUCUACCCCAACUACCGGCCCAGCCAGGGCAUGGCCUUCUUCAUCGCCAAGAGCACCGACUUCUCCUCCGCUCUCCCCACGCAGUGGUUCGGCGUCUUCAACAGCGCCACCCAGGGCAACGCCAGCAACCACGUCUUCGCUGUCGAGCUGGACACCGUCAACAACAGGGACCUGCACGACAUCGACGCCAACCACGUCGGGAUUAACGUCAACAGCGUCGUCUCCAACAAGUCCACCACCGCCGGCUUCUACCACGACGACACCGGCUCCUUCAACGCCUUGAACCUCACUAGCGGCGAGAGGCUGCAGCUCUGGGUAGACUACGAGAGGGAGCCGACGCGAAUCAACGUCACCAUGUCUCCGUUGGGCAUGGCCAAGCCAGCGAGGCCGCUCGUCUCUGCCAUCUACGACCUCUCCACGGGCAGCCGGCACUACCUACUUGGCUGGAGCUUCUCUUCAUCAGGAGGACCUGCGCCGGCUAUCGACAUCCGAAAUUUGCCAAGGCUACCUCGUCUUGGCCCCAAGCCUCAGUCCAAGGUCUUGGAGAUCGUGUUGCCAUUAGCAACGGCCACUUCUGUCCUCGCCGUGGGAGUCACCAUUUUCCUGCUCGUGCGAAGGCAUCGGAGGUACGCCGAGCUACGAGAAGAUUGGGAAGUGGAGUUCGGGCCUCACCGGUUCCCAUACAAGGAUCUCUACCACGCCACACAAGGGUUCAGAAACAAGAACCUGCUUGGGGUUGGCGGCUUCGGAAGGGUCUACAAAGGGGUGCUGCCAAAAUCAAAACUUGAGAUAGCCGUCAAGAGGGUGUCCCACGACUCCAAGCAAGGCAUGAAGGAGUUCAUCGCUGAGGUCGUCAGCAUAGGACGGCUCCAACAACGUAAUCUCGUGCACUUACUCGGCUACUGCCGGCGAAAAGGCCAACUGUUCCUGGUGUACGACUACAUGCCCAACGGAAGCCUUGACAAGUACUUGUAUCAUCGUCGUCAGGACGACGACAACAAGCUGCAGCCUGCUCUGAACUGGGCUCAAAGGUUUAAGAUCAUCAGAGGCGUCGCUUCUGGAUUGCUCUACCUUCACGAGGAGUGGGAACAAGUUGUCAUCCACAGGGAUGUCAAGGCAAGCAACGUGCUCCUUGAUGCUGAAAUGAAUGCCCGGCUAGGUGAUUUUGGUCUUGCACGGUUGUAUGACCAUGGCAUCGACCCACAGAGCACGCACGUGGUUGGCACCAUAGGAUACCUGGCUCCUGAGCUAGCAUGCACCGGAAAGGUAACCCCUCUUACCGAUGUGUUUGCGUUUGGCAUAUUCAUCCUUGAAGUUGUCUGUGGACAACGGCCAAUCAAGCAAGACGCACGAGAAAAACAUCCCAUGUUAGUUGAUCGGGUUCUUGAGCACUGCCACAAUGGAUCACUCCUCAACAUGGUGGAUAUUGAACUCCAUGGUGAGUAUGAUGUAAACGAGGCAUGCUUAGCACUCAAGCUUGGACUACUGUGCUCACACCCAUUCAUGGACGCCAGGCCUACCAUGCGCCAAGUAACGCAGUACCUUGACGGUGACCCUCCAACACCAGAGCUAUCAUCACCAGUGGACACCAACUUCGAGAUGCUAGCUGCAAUGCAAAACGAAGGUUUUGACCCGUACAUCAUGUCUUAUCCUUCUUCCACGGCAAGCCAUGGCGCAACAUCCAUUGUCUCGGGUGGAAGAUGA